rnacentral:tRNA from 2 species
AACGCUGGAGCCAGAUGGCUAGGCGGCCGGCUGCAACCCGGUUCAAGUGGGUUCGACUCCCACCAGCGUUUC